rnacentral:piRNA from 1 species
UACUACAACGUGUUUUCUCAGCUCCAAAAU